rnacentral:rRNA from 1 species
UACGGAGGGUGCAAGCGUUAUCCGGAUUUAUUGGGUUUAAAGGGUGCGUAGGCGGGUUAUUAAGUCAGUGGUGAAAGCCUACAGCUCAACUGUGGAAUUGCCAUUGAUACUGAUAGUCUUGAAUUUAGUUGAGGUAGGCGGAAUAAGACAUGUAGCGGUGAAAUGCAUAGAUAUGUCUUAGAACACCGAUUGCGAAGGCAGCUUACUAAGCUAAUAUUGACGCUGAGGCACGAAAGCGUGGGGAGCGAACAGG